GACUUGACCUGGAAACCACACUCUUGUC
rnacentral:piRNA from 1 species